GGCAGCAAACUCGCGAGAGCUAGCAAAUCCCAUAAACCGUGGCUCAGUUCAGAUCGUAGGCUGCAACUCGCNUACGUGAAGUAGGAAUCGCUAGUAAUCGCAGGUCAGCAUACUGCGGUGAAUACGUUCCCGGGCCUUGUACACACCGCCCGUCACACCAUGGAAGUUGGCCAUGCCCGAAGUCGUUACUCCAACCCUUGUGGAGGAGGACGCCGAAGGUGGGGCUAAUGACUGGGGUGAAGUCGUAACAAGGUAGCCGUACCGGAAGGUGCGGCUGGAUCACCUCCUAACAGGGAGACAACAAAAUGUUUAAUAUUAUUAUUUUGUCACCUUAGGUCGAUCGGUAUCUCACGUUCUUAAUUUUUAAGAAUUUCAUUUCCUAAGUUUUUCUAGGUCACACCCAUUAUUUUUCCUGGGCCAUUAGCUCAGGUGGUUAGAGCGCACCCCUGAUAAGGGUGAGGUCCCUGGUUCAAGUCCAGGAUGGCCCAUAUCUCUAUGUUGGGGGUAUAGCUCAGUUGGUAGAGCGCCUGCUUUGCAAGCAGGAUGUCAGCGGUUCGAGUCCGCUUACCUCCACUGAUUACCACCUCUUCCAUAACCGGUAUUAAGGAAAUGUUUUGCGUUGUGAUCAUUAUUCUGAACGAAUCUAGCUUCCUAAUGAAAUCAUUAAGAUGCUGGACUCAUUGAAUUAAUUUCAUUGUUUUCAGAGAACCUUGACAACUGCAUAGAUUAUUUUAAAGACAAUAAGCAUCUUUAAUGAUGCAGAUUUAUUAUUUGUGCGAAUGCAUUAAUAACAAUUCUAUUAAGCUGAUGCUUCAAUUUUUGAAGUUAUUGGUCAAGCUACAAAGGGCUCACGGAGGAUACCUAGGCACACAGAGGCGAUGAAGGACGUGGUUACCUGCGAUAAGUCUCGGGGAG
rnacentral:misc_RNA from 1 species